AAACACAUUUUUGGCAUUUUUUCUUGUGAAACAAUUAUAUAAAAUUAAGAUAUUAUUGCUGAUUCAUUUUCUAUUGAUCAACUUUAUCAAUUUAACAUUGUAGCUCCACUUCAAACCCUGCCCAUAUUACAUUUGAAGUUUUUACUUGACUGUUAUUUUGUAAACUAAUCAAAAGUUCAUAUUCAUGUGUUUUGUACACAUUUAGGACUAAAUCACUCACUCACCAGAAAGGUGCUAUUGUAUUGGAUCUAAUUGACUGAGUGACAUUGCCCCUUGUACAGCAAUCAGAGUCUAGAACAAAAUGUUCAUGAAAAUGAGAUGCACUCUGCGUGAGCGCGAGGGGUCUCUGAGUUCUUCAAGACCAGCAGUGUAACUUCUCAGUACACUCACAGAAAUGUCAAUAUCUAUCAGUACAGUGUUGACAUAACAUAUUGUAUGGGAAACGAACUUGAACUCCUCCUGUAGCAUUCUCAAAAUUUAAGUAGACUCAAGGAUAGGUUUGGACUUUUUCAAGUCUAUCUCAAUACAAUAUUCAAAUGUCAAAUGUAAAUCGACAAAGUUAUUAGUGGGCGGAAAUUAUUCGUCCUAUCUCCAUAAUAGCCGCAAAGCAGUCCCUUCCUAUCAGGUAGGAUGAGUCUCUAAACGGUCUGCAGAAUUACAUUGAGUGUGUUUUGCCAGUUAUCAAGUGGCUCCACAUGAUCACAGCUGAUGGAGACCACUGUCCAGUGAGAGCUUGAUUCUAACUGAUGCUACCUGGAUGAGAUGUCCCAAACUGAUUUACUGCACAAUAGUUGAUGCUUCAUAUGAUGUUCACUGUCUGUGUAGAUUAGUCACUGCAUAAAUGCCUAUCGAUAGAUGCCUGUUUUUUGUCUAGCUGUCAACAUAUCCACAUUUCUAUUUAUUUUUUGAGACAUUGAGUGUACAAACCUGUUGAUGAGGAGGUUCACUCAGUGUGACACCUGCUGGUCAUUUUUUGUAACUACUUUUGGCAUGCUUGCUGUUGGUUCUAUGCCAUUGAUCUCUGUAAUUAUUGAGAGCUCAUAGUACCCUAAUACCCCACUAGAAAACUGCACUCCCAGAAUGCAGCUUACUGGUGGUUCCU